AACGCACGAGACCUGCGGACCUGCGGAGGGAUCAUUAUCGAGUUAUGGACAGGUUGUAGCUGGCCUUUCAAGAGGCAUGUGCACGCCUGGCUCAUCCAUUCUCAACCUCUGUGCACUACUUGUAGGAAUUCGGGGUGUGUGAAGCCUGACUUUUCUCUGUGAGAGGUUUGGUUGAAGCUCUCCCCCUUCCUAUGUUUUUAUUCACAAACUUUUAGUUAAAGAAUGUAUUUUUACUUGCGU
rnacentral:misc_RNA from 1 species